GUUGACUGAAGCAAAACACCUAACCUCGAAGGUGAGUCGGCGGAGCUGCCGCACCGAAAAACUCCACCACCAGUAAGCUUCAGUUUUUCGACUUUUUUCGGGCAACCGAGACCCUUUAACGUGUUUUAUCAUAGGGAUGGGUACAAAACUGAACGAAAACAGACAACCCAAGGUAAACCGCCACUGCGGGCGACGGUACCGUCGCCGGAGCACAGCGGAUUUACCGUGCCAGAAUUUCGAGAUUGGCCAAAAAGUAUUUCUAACACUGAUUUUGGGCUUUUUGAGGUAUUUUUAGGUACAUGGAGUGUGUUUUAAUCCCUGAAAAAAAAUUUAGAGAAUCGGGGGACCGCCAAUAGGCACAGUCAAAAGUUUAGCGUUCGGACACCAAUUCGAGUAAGAAUCUCUCACCCUAUUCCUUGUUAUAGAAUUGAUGUUUAAUUAUAAAUAAUGUGGUAUUUGUAUAAAUUAGAAAACAAUUAUAAUUAAUUACAG
rnacentral:lncRNA from 1 species